UCCAUUUAAUUUCUCAUCGAC
rnacentral:piRNA from 1 species